GCAAGUCGAGCGAGAAGCUCCUGAUUGAUCCUUCGGGUGAGAGAUGGAAUGGAAAGCGGCGGACGGGUGAGUAACGCGUGGGUAACCUGCCCCAUACAAAGGGAUAGCCACUGGAAACGGUGAUUAAUACCAUAUAACAUCAUAGUGUCGCAUGACACAUUGGUCAAAGAUUUAUCGGUAUGGGAUGGACCCGCGUCUGAUUAGCUAGUUGGUAAGGUAACGGCUUACCAUGGCGACGAUCUCUAGCUGGUUUGAGAGGAUGAUC
rnacentral:rRNA from 1 species